rnacentral:lncRNA from 1 species
UUUAAAUUUGGGGUUCCUAGCAUGUGUGAGCAAAUUUAAAGAGAAGGUUAGUUGGAUAAUAGAUAGAUUAUGGAUUUAUCAUUUUUUUCAUGCUUUUUCACUCUUCAUGACAGAGAUUCGUGAAUGAUUCAUGCAGACUAUACUUGUUGUGUUGACCAUGAGUAAGUGAGGCUUUUACAAUGAAAUUAAAAACCCAUGUUGAUUAGUGUGCUAAGUUCAUAGUUUGAACCUUCAAAUCAUGGUUUCAUGGUGUUGUGGUUGGUGUGAGGUGCUUUGUUCCAAUGUCAUCUGCGUGUGCUACUUGGUUGAUGUUUGUGGCUUUGAAGAAUUGAAGGUGUGUUGGUGUUGGUAUGCGAAGACAAGUUGUUGUUGGAUCUUGGUGUCAAAAUCAACACGUAAGGUGAGGUUCAUGGUUCCCUGGUUCAUACAUGAAGUUUGAUGUGUUUUUAUAAAACAAAUCCACAAAUCAAAGGGCAACAUAAUCGAUUAUAGGAGGGGAUAACCAAUUAUGCUAUCAGUUUUUUACAUGGUAUUUUCCUUCUAGUCACGAUGUUUUCGUUCUAGUUGUAGGUUGUUUCGUGUGCAUGAUCUAGUUUUCCCUUAAAUGAUAAUCGAUUAAUGGAAUGACGUUUUGUAGGUGCAACCAUCAAGGAAGGUGUAGUUAUGUUUUUGUAAUUCUCUUGAUAGUGUCGUGGUUGUACCAACAAGUAAGUUCUCAAGUACAUCGUGUUCCCACGAUUGAUGUCAUGGAUAUGCAGUUUGAUACGCUUACAAUCAAGUUAGACGUAUUUAUGAAUGCAAUUGGGAUAGGAAAUGCCUGGACAAAAAAAAUUGUCUUCCAUUGCUAAACGACAAGGUAUGACACCUGGAUGACAAGUGCUAGCAAUUGAAAGAUGAAAUGAACUUGUUACUGAAUAGGUCAGUCUCAUGCGUCAGACCUUAGCAUUUUAGUACUUUGGAAGUGACGUUUGGGAGAUUUUAGUUACCAUGAACAUAAGGACGGGAAAAUUAUGGAACAAUGUUACAACUUCUUGUGUAUCAACCCAUCCACUACAAAGCGUCUUUUGGGUAUAUGCCUCCACAUCGUCGUUUGAACAAGUUACUUAAUCUUAUGAUUAUCAGUGGUUAAUCUUAUGAUUAUCAGUGGUUGAAAUCCACGUUUGUAGGAUGCUUUUAAACUGUUUUGUUUUUCUUUAGUUUAUGGUUAUGUAAUCUUAGAACACCAUUUAACAUUAAUGUGUACUAAUUUAUUUUAUAUUAUUAAGUAAUUUUUAAAUUUUGUUACUACCUUAUUUAAAAUGUUAUAAUUGGAAACAAGAAUAAUGCACUGACUAAUGUUUUUAAAUGUCUUAAGUUGUGCAUGGAUGGCUUUGUCUUCAUCAUCUAAAAGACAAAGAAGUGUCAACCAAAGGAAAGGAAAAGUCUAAGCCAAUGCGAAUGGAGUUCCUAGUCCUAAGCUCCAAUAAUUGAGGACAUUUUAAGUCACACAUGUUUCUUCAACAAGCAUGAUCAAAUGAUUUAUAUAUGAAGGAUUUUUACUACCAUAUUGUUCUGGCAGCAAGAUAAUGAAUUUUGUAUACUUUGUUGAGUC